CCAGGGAUAGGAAGUGCAGCCGAAAUCAACGACUGAGGCCCCUUCUCUAGCUUCUAGGCUGUAAUCUGUAUGUCCUCCAUGGCUUCGCCUGCUGUGCCACCAGCUGCAAAGUCGAUUUCUGGCCCAGCCCUCUCUGGAGCUCUCAUAGAGUUUAUCCAAAUGCCCCUGGCUGUCGCCUCUCAGGAAUCCCACAGGUUCUGCAACGAGUUCAGAUGUGAACUCAGCUUUCCAACAAAACCUGCGCCUCCCUUCAUGUUCUGGAUCCUUGAGAGCAACAAGGUCAUCAAUCCCUCAGGCUGGAAACCAGAUGGUCCAUGGAGACACCUCCUUGGAGCCCUGCCUGGGCAACCUUGACCUCCCAGGUUCCAGGGGACACUGGAGCCCUGCAGGGUCUGAGCACCUCCCUCAUGCAGGCUCCCAAGUUCACCAUGCUGAGAAAGACCUGCGGGAGACAGCAGGAGGACAGCUGGGGAAUGGGCCCGCACGUGCCCAGAGGCCCUGAUGGUGUCGUCUUGGGAGUGGAGGAACCUGAGGGAAAAUCGCAGGGGUGAGUCGGGGAGAGCUCUGCCCUGGUGCCCUGGCACGUAUCCACAUGGGCCGCAGCUGCACCCGGCUCUCAGCAGAGGGCAUCGCCAUGCUUCUGGGCACAGCCGGGCCGUCUCGCCUCCCUGCGGCUCCUGAUGCCUCCCAGGCUCCGCUGAGGUCACCUUGGGCACUUAGCGUGGCUGCAGCUCUUUGCAGCCCUGUGUCCUGUCAUCCAUGUGGCCGUCAUGUGGUCACUUUUGGGCAUUGCGCUGUGCAAGGUCCAUGGGGACUGGGCACCUUUGGCCAUUCUUUCUUUGGUUGUCUGUGCAAGUAAUAAACUAAAUCUGAAAAGGU
rnacentral:lncRNA from 1 species